UGUCCUCGUCUCUGAAGGCAACCAACCAGAAAUCACGACAUAUAGAUAAGUAAAUUAAAAGUAAGGUAACUAUUUUCCUAAUACAUUUUUUGUUUUUGUUUUUUACGUCAUGUAUUAUUUUAUCUAUUUGACACAUGUCCGGUUCUAUCACUUACUCAAAAGUCGAAACUCUUUUGAGAGAGCUAGUUCUCUGUUUUUUAAUCCGUUUAUAUUUAUUUUUAUUCUACUAAUUCAAGAGAAUCCAUCUAAUUAUUCAAGAGAACUCCCGUUGAAAAUGUUCU